rnacentral:rRNA from 1 species
GACGUAGGGCGCGAGCGUUGCCCGGAUUUAUUGGGCGUAAAGAGCUCGUAGGCGGCUUGUCGCGUCGACUGUGAAAUCCCGCGGCUCAACUGCGGGUCUGCAGUCGAUACGGGCAGGCUAGAGUUCGGUAGGGGAGACUGGAAUUCCUGGUGUAGCGGUGAAAUGCGCAGAUAUCAGGAGGAACACCGAUGGCGAAGGCAGGUCUCUGGGCCGAUACUGACGCUGAGGAGCGAAAGCGUGGGGAGCGAACAGG